rnacentral:rRNA from 1 species
UACGUAGGGGGCUAGCGUUGUCCGGAUUUAUUGGGCGUAAAGAGCGUGUAGGCGGCCAGACAGGUCAGCUGUGAAAACUCGAGGCUCAACCUCGAGACGUCGGUUGAAACCGUCUGGCUAGAGUCCGGAAGAGGAGAGUGGAAUUCCCGGUGUAGCGGUGAAAUGCGCAGAUAUCGGGAAGAACACCCGUGGCGAAGGCGGCUCUCUGGGACGGUACUGGCGCUGAGACGCGAAAGCGUGGGGAGCGAACAGG